CAGGGCGGCCCACCGGACCGCGGGAGUGUUGGCAGAGCCGCGGAGCGGUCGGCGAUCUGCGAGUUCUGCAACUCGCAAAAGGAGAAUGGACCAGCUUGGGAGAUGUGGUGGGAAUCAGCCCUGCCGCUCCCGUGCUGGUCGGAUUUCUAGAUGAAUGACAACACAUUGCAGUCAGCUUGCGUCUUUUGUGGUUGGAUGCUGUCCUGGCGGAAGGCACCAGAGAAAUAGGUAUUUACAUGAAGAAAUUUAUAAACUGUGUAUGCAUAGAAGAAGGAAGCAUCCAAAUAAAUAUAGUGAGAAGCCUGAGACCUUCAAGCAAACAGCAUCAACCCUAGGUCCCUGCAAGAUGAUGGAUACUCAAUAAAAUCGAUGGCUGAAGCUUCAAAUGGAUACUCAGAGCUGAGGAUGGUGACAUAUGGAGGGGAAAAAUUAAGUACCUGCUGUUCAUGACAUAAACUGCAGGUGGAUUUUUAGGAUUACCUUACUCAAAAUAGCAUCCUGUCAAGGGAAAUCAUCUGUAAAAACCUGCAUUUCUCCACUUUCAAGGUAAGCGCAACCAAUUUCUCCACAGAGGAAUGCUAACAAGAGGAAAAUUGCCAGCAGCACGAAGAUUUAUGAGAUGGGAUUUAUGAGAACCUACUUUGGCCUCUUUUUAUUUUUUUGGUGAUUCUCAUGCAGGCCAACUGGUGCAGGCUAUUUCAGCACACAGAUCAAAGCUAGGGCUUCCCUGAGCAGACCAGCUUCAUCUUUAUCCUUUUUCACAUGGAGGAAAGCAUAUUUCAGUGCAAAAGUCAUCUCCUACAUUUUUUGUCUGCAUACCACAGCCUUAUUAGGCACCGUGCAAAACGCUCAUCGAUUGUCUGCCUCUAACCACAAUACCUAACCACAACACGAUGCUCAGAAUAAGACUAACACACACUGGUAACCUUUGCACAGCACACUCUGUGAACAGUUCCUACCUGCUGUUGUUUUGCUUGCUGUAAGAGCCACUGCAUCUGCUGCUCGUGCAACAGCUCAGGAAAUUGUAACAGCCCCACCAGGGCUCUUCCAGCCUGCAAGGGCCAGGUUAAGCCAUCUCUAGAUGUCAUCCCUCAACAUGUUGCCGAAACUUCUAGAUUUGCAUGAAGUUGAAUUUAUCUGUAUAUUUAUUUAUUAUUUCAAAGACAACAACCAAUACUUUAUGACUUAAGAGGUUUUGCAUCGUGGAGACCAACUUUCCCUGUGGCACCACACUCUGCUCUGCAUCUGAGAUGAGCAGCAGAUAAUCAGGAAUUCUUGGCUACAGGAAACCACAAGCAAGAUGCCUGUCUGUAUGAGUUAGCACCUGCCGUUCAGUGCUGGCAAUCUGGGCUCCCAUGCAUAUUCAGGAGGCAGCUGGUGCAGUUCAGCUUUGACAAAUCUGAGGUGGGGCUGUUUGCAGUCAAGAUCUUCAAAGCCAUUCUCCAAAGCCUGUAUACCCCUAUAAUCUUCUCCAGCAACAGUGAAAAUACUGUCAGCUCUUUUCCCUGUGUGGAUUUCCCCAUUGCAGGAAGCAAAAUAUGAGAUUCAUGUUCCCAAAGGCUGUCUCUAUACGGUUCUUAUAAUUACACUUAGAGAAAAGCUAUCACUGUAAUUUUCAGCUCUUCACUCAUCCAAAGUGGGUAGCUGGCACUCUCUCUCCCUUUGCAGAACCUGGGCUUCUGCAAGGCUAGGGAGCCUAUGUUUAUUUUAGACUCCGGAGCUUUUUAUCUCAAAUGAAGUGCCCCUGCCCAGCCAAGCUUCACAUGUGCAGUGCUGCAAGGGACCAUGCCCUCAGCUUGCUGCCCGUGAAGCCUGCUAAGAUACAGAGGACGCUAAUUCCUACGUUCUGCAAAAAUCCUAUGACCUGAUGCACCUCUCUCUGUAUUAAGGAGGUGGUGAGCCCUUAAGUGUGGAUUAUUCCUAUAAGAUUAUGGUUUUCAGUGUGUCUGUAUCCCUCUCAGCACUGCUGCUCCAAGCAAUCCAGAGCACUAGGACAGCAGGCAAGUGGGUAUCAGUAAGGGCACGUCCUCACAGGCAGCACUUGGGUUUGUAGGGCCAGAAAGAUGCUGCUUUAAUUAAUGUCUAUUCACACCAGCGCUCACAGAACAGAAUUUUUCUCUGUGCAUAGUCAAAAAAAGCACUGAUUUCCUCUGAUUUCCUUCCUUCACAUCUCAGAAGACAAAAGCAAGACUUUUCUGUUCCUCUUUACACAAAAGGACCAUCUCCAUCCUCAGCCCUCCCACUUCAUUUUCCCACCUCCUUCCAAAGUCAAGAAGAGCACUAGUUUUGCUCCUUUUUACCAAUCUACUGCAAUUGUACUCCAUCUCCUUAAGAACUGAUCUCCACUCCUCUCUCUGAGCACGUGGCUGGUUCAGGAGUGCUCUUUGCACAGGGCAGUGCCAACGGCUCAUACACAAACAAAACCCAUGCUCUCUCAAGCAGGUGGACUGUAUCUCAGUGCUUGGUUGCCUGUCCAUAUCCCCUCUAGAUGGAGGCAGAACAUUACCAUCUCACUCAAGGACACCAGACCUGGAACUGAGAUCAGGGGAGGAAACAGAGAAUCCUCCAAGGCCUCACCUGGUACCUACCUAGAACAUGUUGCUUGCAGCCCUGGUAGACACUGUUAAAGCAGAGGCUUCUCUUUCAGGUGGGAAGAGAUGGUGUGGGUCCUGAAGUCUAGCACAUGCCUGGAAGAGAUCACAAACUCUCAUGCUGAACAUUUACCUGAAAUGAGCCAGAGAUGAUUCCAUGUGUUUUUGGAGUCUAAUUCAUAUAGCAUGUGGAUGAAAUUAAAUUUUUGGGAAGGGCAUCAACAUGUGACAGCUGAGAACAUAGGAAUGCUACAUCAAGAAUGCCAGCUGGCCAAAAACCAAGUAUAAAAAGAGCGGCAGUGUGUCACUGAUAAAAUCUUUGAUCAUGAAAUGCUUUGUUUCUGCUGCGUGGCUGAGAAUUGAAAUGGGGUUGAACGUGGUCUAUCCUAUAUGAAUAGCAGCCAGACAGACAUAUGGGCAGGGUAGAAGCAUGUCCUCUAUAGACACUGGGAUUUCUCUCUUAUCUACUGAGAGGGCAUAGUUACUGCAAACCUUGAAGACAGAAAUACAGCUGGCAAGGAGAUAACUCUCUUGUGCUAGGUCCAGACUUGAACCAAGUUUUUAUUGCAAUCACACUUUUUUUUUUUUUUCUUUUUUUUUUUUUUUUUUUUUUUUUUAAGGAAGCUUUUAGAGUUCAUAAGUUUUCAAGAGGGAAAGGAAUUAAUCGGAGAGAAAAUCCAGAUCGUGCAGAAUUUAGCUUGGAAAAGAAAAAGAGAAAUUUUAAUUUCUACAGAUCAUUAAAAAAAAUAAUGCUU